CUUUGCUCCACGCCUCCUGGGCGCAGAGGCGACGCUGGCAGCCGUCUCUUAGGAGAUUUCUCCGCAGUGUGGACGGGGGUCAGGAUUUGCAGGCGAGCAAGGGCAGAGAGGAGAAAUCGUACAGCUCAGAGAUGACCCUGAGUCUUGAUUCGGUGAGAAGAGGAAUGAGAUCCAGAUGAAGACCUCAUGAGUCCAUAGAUUGUAUUGGCUGGGAUUUGCACUUGGUUGCACAUAAUAAAAAUUCAUUCUUGGUGAUUAAACCAAA
ensembl:lncRNA novel transcript